UAUGGUGGGCAUAUCCCUUAUUUUCACAUCCCAAUGUUGACAGGUAUGUCACCCAUUGAAACUAAGCAGGGCUGCAUUUGGUCAUUACCUGCAUGGGAGACCACAUGGGAAAGCAAGGUUGCUUCCGGAA
rnacentral:rRNA from 1 species